rnacentral:rRNA from 1 species
UGAAUACGAGAUGCUACGGCGUCGAAGCAGUCUAUGUCAUACUUCCAAGAAAAGCUUGCACUGUCAUAAACAAAUAAUGCCUGUACCAUAACCGACACAGGUGGGUAGGUAGAGUAUACUAAGGGGCGCGAGAUAUCUCUCUCUAAGGAACUCGGCAAAAUGACUCCGUAACUUCGGGAGAAGGAGUGCCUUAUUUAUAAGGUUGCAAUAACAAGAUCCAAGCAACUGUUUACCAAAAACACAGGUCUCCGCUAAGUCGUAAGACGAUGUAUGGGGGCUGACGCCUGCCCAGUGCCAGAAGGUUAAAGAAGUUGGUUAGCAUCCGCGAAGCUGAUAACUGAAGCCCUGGUGAACGGCGGCCGUAACAAUAACGGUCCUAAGGUAGCGAAAUUCCUUGUCGGGUAAGUUCCGACCCGCACGAAAGGCGUAAUGAUUUGGAUACUGUCUCGGAGAGGGGCUCGGUGAAAUAGACUUGUCUGUGAAGAUGCGGACUACCUGCACCAGGACAGAAAGACCCUAUGAAGCUUUACUGUAACCUGAAAUUGAAAUUGGACUUUACUUGCGCAGUAUAGGUGGGAGGCGUUGAGAAUAUUCUUGCGGGAUUAUUGGAGCCAUCAGUGAGAUACCACUCUUGUAAUGUUAGAUUUCUAACUUUGUAUCAUUAUCUGGUCAAAGAACAGUUUCAGGCGGGCAGUUUGACUGGGGCGUCGCCUCCUAAACGGUAACGGAGGCGCACAAAGGUUUCCUCUGAACGGGUAGAAAUCGUAUCUAGAGUGUAAAGGCAUAAGGAAGCUUGACUGUGAGACCUACAAGUCGAGCAGGGACGAAAGUCGGUCUUAGUGAUCUGACGGUGCUGAGUGGAAAGGCCGUCACUCAACGGAUAAAAGUUACUCUAGGAUAACAGGCUGAUCUCCCCCAAGAGUUCACAUCGACGGGGAGGUUUGGCACCUCGAUGUCGGCUCAUCGCAUCCUGGGGCGGUAGUACGUCCCAAGGGUUGGGCUGUUCGCCCAUGAAAGCGGUACGCGAGCUGGGUUCAGAACGUCGUGAGACAGUUCGGUCCAUAUCCGGUGUAGGCGUUAGAAUAUUGAGAGGAGCCUUCUUUAGUACGAGAGGACCGAGAAGGACAUACCUCUGGUGUACCAGUUAUCGUGCCAACGGUAAACGCUGGGUAGCUAUGUGUGGAGUGGAUAACCGCUGAAAGCAUCUAAGUGGGAAGCCCACCUCAAGAUAAGUAUUCUCAC